UACGGGGGGGGGCAAGCGUUGUUCGGAAUUCCUGGGCGUAAAGGGCUCGUAGGCGGCCAACUAAGUCAGACGUGAAAUCCCUCGGCUUAACCGGGGAACUGCGUCUGAUACUGGUUGGCUUGAGUGUGGGAGAGGGAUGCGGAAUUCCAGGUGUAGCGGUGAAAUGCGUAGAUAUCUGGAAGAACACCAAAGGCGAAGGCAGUGUCCUGGGUGGUCGCUGACGCUGAGAGGCGAAAGCCAGGGGAGCGAACGGG
rnacentral:rRNA from 1 species